CUUUCUCCAGUCUUGCUGCUGUUAACAGAAUGAGCCGAAGCAUAUGUAGUAGGACCACUCCAGUGAUUUUUAAUGAGAUUUCUGAAGUAUUGAAAGCAGUUUAUGUUCAUAGCAGUGAGAGAUUUUAACCAGUAUGGAGGAUAAUAUGGAGAAACACAAAAUGCUCUUAAAAUAGGAGCUGUUGAAGGAGAGUGAAGAGAGACAGGAGAGUGGUGGGAUCUGGAAGCGUGGACUCAACCUGAACCUUCAUAGCAGAAAUUGUGAAUUGAGUCGAGUGUGCUCUUGGAAUAUUUAAUUAUAAUUGGAUUUUACUUUAGUCUUACAGAGAAUGUGUUGUACAGUUCGAGUCCUCAGCCUAUGUAUUUAUUGAUGACCAUAAAGUGCCGGGGACUGGCAUCCAUGAAGUGCACCAGAGAAGCAGAUGUUUGAAGAAGCUCAGAGGACGUCUUUGACUUCAAAUCAGGAAAGACAGAACAGGGUUUGUCUAACAAAAAUAGCACCUGGUUUCAUCAUUACUUCUUUUCGGAUGGCCAUCAUUCUUGUCAUCAGGUGUACAGUAACAGUGCAAUAGGUGCUUUUUUCUCCUGGUGCCAGGGACUGUAAGUAUUAUGAAGCUUCACAUAAGUUGUGAUUUAAAUAGGCCAAGAGUACAUGCACUAAAACUGACAGUCAUACACCAGGUCUAGUGAUUACUUUUUCGCAGCUGUUGUCUUUGCAAAUUAACCUGUCCGCUCUGGGGAAAGUGCUUUCAGCUCUUUUGUGAGACACUUCACCUGUUUGGCAUUACUGUGGCACUCAUUUCCAUCACAUAUACUUCAUUUGUUUCAAAGGAAGUACUCCAGCUUUGAAAAUACUGAAGGGAACAGUGAAGGAGGACUUUUUAACAUGACGUCUUCAGAAUGCCUGCAGUAACCUUGGAAACCACAACCAAAAGCUGUGUUGCUAGAGAAACAAACCAUUUUAUCCCUUCUCAAAUGAUGAGGGCAACCAGUUUACUGGAAGGAAAUUUUUGCCCGCACUUGAGAGGAGAUGUUUAGGAUUAACUGAGAAUUAUGGUGUAUAUAAGACUUAUUACGGUCUACUAAAAAUGGUCUUUUGCCAAAAAUAUCCUAUACAAACAUACAGCAAAUAUUCUUAUACAAAUGUCACUUGCAGGUGAUGUCUUUAAAAGCACAUUAUCAUUGUAUUGCAUUUGCUAUUUGAACAAAUAUUCAGUAUUUCUUAAGUAUUGACUUUUCUGAUAAAACUGUUACACUUAUGUCCACUUAUCAUGGUUUAGCUAAUAUGAUGUCUGUCGAAGACCUAUUGAAGUAAAUCUUGAGGAUGAACUGCUUUAUAGUGCUUAGAUGCUACAAACCCCAAUAUGAGCAUUCUAAAUGAAUUAUUGACAUUUGUCCCA
ensembl:lncRNA